UCGAGAGAAAUGAUGAGAGCAGCUGACUUUCUAAUAAUAUCUUCAUCAGGUUCACCAUCAUCUCUUAGUAACCUUCCCAAUGCGUGCUGCUUUAAGUGU